GAUGAAGAACGCAGCGAAAUGCGAUAAGUAAUGUGAAUUGCAGAAUUCAGUGAAUCAUCGAAUCUUUGAACGCACAUUGCGCCCGCCAGUAUUCUGGCGGGCAUGCCUGUUCGACCGUCAUUUCAACCCUCAAGCCCCCGGGCUUGGUGUUGGGGAUCGGCGUGCCCUCGCGGCGCGCCGUCCCCUAAAUCUAGUGGCGGUCUCGCUGUAGCUUCCUCUGCGUAGUAGCAACACUCGCACUGGAUCGCAGCGCGGCCACGCCGUUAAACCCCCCACUUCUGAAAGUUUGACCUCGGAUCAGGUAGGAAUACCCGCUGAACUUAAGCAUAUCAAUAAGCGGAGGA
rnacentral:misc_RNA from 1 species